GGAUCAUUAGCUCAGUUGGCAGAGCACCUGACUCUUAAUCAGGGUGUCCGGGGUUCGAACCCCUGAUGAUCCACCA
rnacentral:tRNA from 1 species